rnacentral:tRNA from 1 species
GCAUUAGUAGCUCAGCCGCCCAGAGCGUCGGCCUUGUAAGCCGAAGCGCGGAGGUUCAAACCCUCCCUACUGCU